rnacentral:rRNA from 1 species
GAUGAACGCUAGCGGCAGGCUUAACACAUGCAAGUCGAGGGGCAGCAUGAGACGGAGAUUCGUCGAAGUCUUGAUGGCGACCGGCGCAAGGGUGCGUAACGCGUGAGCAACUUGCCCGUUUCAGGGGGAUAACCGGUGGAAACGCCGACUAAUACCCCAUAGUAUCAUUUUAAGGCAUCUUUUAGUGAUUAAAGAAAUUCGGAAACGGAUAGGCUCGCGUGACAUUAGCUAGACGGCGGGGUAACGGCCCACCGUGGCGACGAUGUCUAGGGGUUCUGAGAGGAAGGUCCCCCACACUGGAACUGAGACACGGUCCAGACUCCUACGGGAGGCAGCAGUGAGGAAUAUUGGUCAAUGGUCUGACGACUGAACCAGCCAUGCCGCGUGAAGGUGACGGCCCUAUGGGUCUUAAACUUCUUUGCAAGGGAGCAAUAAGCCUCACGUGUGGGCGAUGAGAGUACCUUGCGAAUAAGCAUCGGCUAACUCCGUGCCAGCAG